CUACGGGAGGCACCAGUGGGGAAUAUUGGACAAUGGGGGAAACCCUGAUCCAGCAAUGCCGCGUGUGUGAAGAAGGCCUGCGGGUUGUAAAGCACUUUCGGUUGGGAGGACUGCUUCUAGCACUAAUAUUGUUGGAAGUUGACGUUACCUUCAGAAGAAGCACCGGCUAACUCCGUGCCAGCGGCCGCGGUAAUACGGAGGGUGCAAGCGUUAAUCGGAAUUACUGGGCGUAAAGCGCGCGUAGGCGGCUAGAUCAGUCGGGUGUGAACGCCCCGGGCUUAACCUGGGAACUGCAUCCGAUACUGUCUAGCUUGAGUACAGGAGAGGAGAGUGGAAUUCCACAUGUAGCGGUGAAAUGCGUAGAUAUGUGGAGGAACACCAAUGGCGAAGGCAGCUCUCUGGCCUGAUACUGACGCUGAGGUGCGAAAGCGUGGGGAGCAAACAGGAUUAGAUACCCUAGUAGUC
rnacentral:rRNA from 1 species